rnacentral:rRNA from 1 species
AUACGUAGGUUGCAAGCGUUGUCCGGAGUUUACUGGGUGUAAAGGGUGCGUAGGCGGAUUGGCAAGUCAGAUGUGAAAUACCGCAGCUUAACUGCGGGGCUGCAUUUGAAACUGUCGAUCUUGAGUGCAGGAGAGGUAAGCGGAAUUCCCAGUGUAGCGGUGAAAUGCGUAGAUAUUGGGAGGAACACCAGUGGCGAAGGCGGCUUACUGGACUGUAACUGACGCUGAGGCACGAAAGCGUGGGGAUC